rnacentral:lncRNA from 1 species
ACCUGGCCAAUGUUUUUGUGUUUUAAAAAAUGAACACAAUGAGCACAUGUUCAUUGGAUAAUAAGUUAUUAAAAGUGAUUAUGAGGCAACCACCAGCUCACUUUGAUCACCACAGCAGUGAAACGAGGCUACAGAGCCAUGGCUGAGGGAAAACUUAAGGGUACAGUCAUCUGGAAUCUUUCAUUAGAAGCUGUGUAAGUAACACCAAAAUAAAAGUGACAACCAACUGUCUAGGAAGAGCCACGUGCUUCACAAAGGGCAGGACAAGCAUUGCCAUGUCAUAAUCGGCAGCCUCACCUGCUGUAUUAGUCCCUUUGUGUUGUUAUAAAAGAAUACCUGAAGCUGGGUAAUUUUUAAAGAAAAAAGAGUUAUUUGGUCCAUGACUGUGGAGGCUGGAAGAUUGAGCAUCUGGUGGAAGCCCCAGGCUGUUUCUGCUCAUGGCGGAAGGUGCAGGGGAGCUGGCACGUGCAGAGAUCACACAGUGAGAGAGGAAGCAAGACAGAGAGGUGAGGCACUAGGCUCUUUUUAGCAACCAGCUCUGGCAGGAACUACUAGAAUGAGAAUUCACUCUCCAUUCCUGCAGGGAGGGCAUUAAUCUAUUCAUGUGGAAUCCACUCCUAUGACCCAAACACCUCUCAUUAGUCCCCACCUCCAACACUGGGAUCAAAUUUCCACAUGAGGUUUGGGGAACAAACAUCCAAACUCUUAGCACAUUGCCUAUUCUUUUUUCUAGGAUGCCCCAGCAUAGGAUGCCCUGUCAGUACCCCAGAGAUCAUGAUCCUAGGAAGAAGAAACUCAUUGUCUGCCAUUGCCUCCACCUCCCUUGACUUACUCGCUCCAGGCCACCAGAAUCUAGACUUGACCUUUAAUUGCAGAAGGACAUCUCCCUGCUGCAGGCAGUCGAUCAGAGAUCUUGGCUCUAAUCUCCACGUAUGUAUCACUGAUUCUCAAAAGAGGAAAAUUAAGGAGUGUCAAAAAGAGAACGAGAGAGAAGCAGGAUGCUCUGGAGAAUGAAAGAUGCUGUACAUUCUGUAAAUCAUUUUGCUGGUUUCAAUAGAAAGUCCAGACCAAGUGGAAUAAAGUGCAUUUUGUGGGUCAGAUGUAAAAGACAGAAGAGACCUGCCCAAAGAAACAUUCCGUGGUACCAGAGGAAAUCGAGCACCAAGAGGCCUUUUUAUCCCCCCUAUACUCAAAGAUGAAAACUAGACUAGGGUCCCUUUUCAAGGUAAAAUGACAGGCAGGUCCAUUAAGCUGCUGUGAAAUUGUUCCCCAUCCUGCAAAUUCAUCCACCAGACCGGGCCCUGCAUCUUACUCAUCCUCAUGUCUCCAUUGUCUGAUAUAAGACCUGGCACAAAUUGGUACUUCCUGCUUGUUAGUGAAACUCAAUAUAUCACACAAUUAAGUACUUUUCCAUUUUAAGAUUGAACAGUAAACCUACCCUGUCUCCCUCUGUUCUCUGCUCUAACUCCUAGUUUGCUGUGGUGAUCACCCUUUAGUGUCUUAACAAGAUUCAAGGCACUGUUCACAUCCCACUAAAUUAGUUCCCUAUGGUUCCUAUAACAAAUUACUACAGACUUAGUGGCUUAAACCAACAGGGGUUUAUUAUGUUAUAGUUCUAGAGGUCAGAAAUCCAAAAUGGUUUUCAUUGGCCUAAAAUCAAGGUGUCAGCUGGGCCAUGUUCCUUCUGGAGG